AGUGAACGCUGGCGGUAGGCCUAACACAUGCAAGUCGAACGGCAGCACAGUAAGAGCUUGCUCUUACGGGUGGCGAGUGGCGGACGGGUGAGGAAGACAUCGGAAUCUACUUUUUCGUGGGGGAUAACGUAGGGAAACUUACGCUAAUACCGCAUACGACCUACGGGUGAAAGCAGGGGAUCUUCGGACCUUGCGCGAUUGAAUGAGCCGAUGUCGGAUUAGCUAGUUGGCGGGGUAAAGGCCCACCAAGGCGACGAUCCGUAGCUGGUCUGAGAGGAUGAUAGGCCACACUGGGGCUGAGACACGGUCCAGACUCCUACGGGAGGCAGCAGUGGGGAAUAUUGGACAAUGGGCGCAAGCCUGAUCCAGCCAUACCGCGUGGGUGAAGGAGGCCUUCGGGUUGUAAAGCCCUUUUGUUGGGAAAGAAAAGCAGCAGGUUAAUACCCCGCUGUUCUGACGGUACCCAAAGAAUAAGCACCGGCUAACUUCGUG
rnacentral:rRNA from 1 species